GGCACUGCAGGAUCUUCGUAUGAAUAAAACUGGAAUAUCACUCCCUUGUCAAACACAGCUACCUUGGGAAUACUGUCACAGGAGCAGCAUCAUUUUUAUUUGGAGAAAGCUUCACACUGCUGCUACAUCUGGCCUGCGGACAGGAUAAAUCCUGCAAAACAGAAGACGACCCCAGCAGCAGCUUUCACAACUGCACUGGAAGGCAGGGAACCAGCAAGAAGUACCUGAACUGUGUUAAAUUUGAUUGGCACAACUACAACUACCCUCUGCCAGCAGUACAUUUUUCCGGCCCCUGACCAGCCAGAGGAGACCACCAGGACCAUUUAGCCCAGUCACUAACAAAUAGUGUGAUUCAUCAAAGAGUUUUAUGAGGAGCUUGAGGAACUGAACAGAAACCACCAAUUUUCUCAAUACAAGAUGGUAAGGGACUUACAUAGCAAUAUAACCUACAUAUAUUGUAUUAUUACUCAGCAACACUGUAUUGAAAGGCACUAAAUGCUGUCAUGUCAAAACAUGAACAUAAAGCCAAUGUUUAAACUUAAAACUGGCAUAACCUCAAUGUAAAUGGUCAUUUAUUAGGAGAAAGAAAGUUGGGAUUUUUUAACAAGGUAAAGUCUGCUUAAGAUCCAAAACUAAAGGACAGA